AUGGAUCCAGAGUUGCACAAGGCGGCGGUGCAGGGGAGCGUGACAAGCCUGAGGAAGCUGGUGGCCGAGCGCCCCGGCAUCCUUGGUUCCAAGACGCCGCAGGGGAACACCGCGCUGCACAUCGCCACCGAGCUCGGCCAUGCCGGCUUCUUGAAGGAGGCCCUCGGUGUGGACUGCAAGCUACUCGCCACAAGGAACGCCGACGGCGACACGCCGCUGCACCUGGCGGCCAGGAUGGGGAAGUUGGACGUGGCGGAGCUGCUCGUCAGCCGCGCCAGCGCAUGGCGUGCGGAGCACUCCCCUGGGAGCGAGCAGGAGCCUCUGUUCAUGGCCAACAAGGCCGGCGACACCCCGCUACACGACGCGGUGAAGCAGGGCAGGAGCACCGUGGCGCUCAUGCUGUUGGCCGCCGAGCCCAGCGUCGGCCACACGCUCAACAUGAGGAAGGAGUCGCCGCUGCACAUCGCCGCCCGGGAGGGCCUCGCCGACGUCGUGGCCAAGAUCGUCCGCCAGCCCUGGGUCCACGAGAAGUUUGUCCCCUCCGACUCCACCAACGGCACCGCCCUGCACCAGGCCGUCCUCGGCGGACGCAUCCGUAUGGUGGAGAUGUUGCUUGACGCGACGCCGCAGGAGCAGAUCGGGCUGACGGACUCGAGGGAGAACAACGCGCUGCACUACGCGGCGCUCAAGAACAACGCCCGCGUGGUGAGGCUGCUGCUGAACCGGAAGGUGGAGCUGGCCUACAAGCGCAACCGCGACCUGCAGUCGCCGCUGCACGUGGCCGCCUGCAAGGGCUCGACGGAGGCCAUGGUGGAGCUGCUAAGGCAUUGCCCUGACGCGGCGGAGACGGUGGACAGCAACGGCAGGAACGCCUUCCGCUUGGCCAUCAUCAGCGGCAGUGUGGACGCCCUCAAGUGCCUGCUCAAGCACGUCCGCCCCGAGGAGAUCGUCAAUCAUGUCGACCACGCCGGCAACACGCCGCUGCACCUCGCGGCUGCCCUGUCGCGCAUCCAGUCGACGCUGCUCCUGCUCAAGGACCGCCGCGUCAACCCCUGCGUCCUCAACCGGGACGGCCAGUCUGCGCGCAGUCUCCUAGAGAAGCGCGACACCACCGAGGAGAUGGACGCCUACGAGAUGUACAUGUGGAAGAAGCUCAAGGAGUCCGAGGCCUCCAGGUGCAAGAACGAGCUGCUGCCUCCGGUCGCGUCUGACCAGUGGGUGCGCAGACGGAGGGCUGGCAACGACGAGUUCAACGUCGGGACCUACACGCUGGUGGGCACGCUGAUCGCCACCGUCAGCUUCGCCGCCACCUUCACCAUGCCGGGGGGUUACAGCCAGACCGAGGGCACGGCCAUCCACGGCCACAAGGCGGCGUUCAAGAUCUUCCUCAUCUCCAACACCGUCGCCCUCUGCAGCUCCAUCGUCGUCGUCUUCUGUCCAACCAUGUGGGCGUGGCGGGACCCCGUCGAGGUCGAGCUCAAGCUCGAUCAGCUCAUGUGGAGACGCAGGCUCAUGUGGAGCCGCAGGCUCACAAACCUCGCCUUCCUUGCCAUGCUUGUCUCCUUCAUGACCGCCGUCUACAUCACCGUUGAGCCCACCACGAGGUGGCCUGCGUACCUUGUGAUCGCCAUCGUAGCCAGCACUCCCGCCGUCGUGUUCCUCACCCUUGGUAAAGAGACAUUCUACGUCCCACUAUAA
rnacentral:rRNA from 1 species